AAUCCCAAACAGCUUCUUCUACUCUGCUCUUGGCUCUUGGCUUGAGCUUCUAGAUUGGCUGAUUGUCAGCACCUGUGAGCAUGGGUCCUGCUGCAGCUAUCAGGAGGUGUCUGCUCCAAGAAUCAGCAUGUCAUUUUUUGACUGAUCUGGAGAGUGUGAUAGGGAAACUUCACGCUAGUGUUCUGCAAAACCAAGCUGCAGGAUUAUUUGGAGUGAGAUCUCGUACCAUCUCCAAAGUGAAGGUCAAGUUCUUGAUAACAGGGGAGACGACACCUCAAGAAGAUGUGUACAGAUUUGCAGUCGAGGUUUGAAGGACAAUAUGGUCGACAGCUCUCUGCCCAAAUGAUUCGGAGCAGACUGCAAGUCUUCGGUCUCAUGGGGCUGCCAGGACUACCCUUCACUGAUAGACCUGUUUGCACUGGAACCCAUGGAGGACUGCUGUGCUGAUAAAGGGACAUCUCGUACAGAGCAGGAUUAUUCUGAUUGUCCUGCCUUAAAACCUAAACCUGAUUGUACUGCAAAAAGAGUACAGAAGUUUGGAGAGGUCAGAAGACACAUGAAGUCCCUGCAGCACCUGUAGCAUACAUACCAACUGAGUCCUCUUACGACAUCCAAGGCCAAGAGUCCUCCUCACGGGGAGGAGUGGUAGCAGCCCGUAGGUGGAGGUGCUGAUGGUGAGGUCGCCGUCCGUCUCCAGUCAUGUGACCUCUGAAAGGUGGCGACGCCUGACGCUGACGGCGAGAUGAUCUUCAUGACUUCCUGUUCCACUGUGUGUUCUGAAACAUGAGAGUUUAAAAGUCAGGAACGAGUUAUCGUAUGCUAUAUGUGACAAUACGUUUGUUAGCUUUGUCUAAUGGUAACAUAAAGCACCUUUCAGCCUCCUGUGGUCUCAGAUUUAAAGACCGAUUCUGACGAGUUGAGCACAAAAAAAAUUAAUUUCCAAAAUCUUCAAUCUUUUGUAUGAAGGAUGUAAUAAAUUAGAGGUUUUCAAACCGAUUAUAAGCAUUUUUUUUUAUUUUUACAAAGAAAAUAAAAGUUGUGAUAUAUUAGAUUUGCAGUAUUACUAUGAAAAAACAUCUAAAAAAGGACUAAACAGUAUAUUUAGGCCCAAAUAUAUUUUAAAAUGU